GGAGCCUCGGAACCUGGGUUCCGGCCUGGUGUGUGCGGGUCCCGCCCCGCGUGCUUUCUGGGGUCUCUCCGGAGAUGAGGGUGGCAGGGCGGGGAGUUCUCUCCGCGAAGUACCAUGCUGAGAAAGCCUGGGUUCAUAUGUACACGGGCCUCUCACUGUUGUGGCCUCUCCCGUUGUGGAGCACAGGCUCUGGACGCACAGGCUCAGCGGCCAUGGCUCACAGGCCCAGCCACUCCGCAGCAUGUGGGAUCUUCCUGGACCGGGGCACAAACCCGUGUCCCCUGCAUCGGCAGGUGGACUCUCAACCACUGUGCCACCAGGUUAGAGCAAGAACAGCCAUUGCUCCAGUAUCUGUCAGGAAGCAAAACACUGGUGAUAGGGUGACUAACCAUCCUGGUGCACCCUGGACUGAGUAGUUUCCUGGUAUGUGGGACUUUCAGUACUAACAACAGGACAAAUCUGGACAAACUGGGAUGGUUGGUCAUGCUCGUGAAUGAUGGGAGAGAAGAAUUUCAAGUUUGCUAACCAGACGAGCAUCACGUAUAAACACUUCAUCAGAGUUAUUACACGCUCCCAAAGCCAAGAUAACCAAGGCAAGCUCUCCUGAGGUUAUCUCUGACUCUGAAAAGAAAAGUAUUCAAGUUAAACAAGUGUCCAUAGGGUGUACUUCUUCUACAUUCUGGGCUGUUGUUCCACUGACUCUACUUGGUCAAGACUGCCUCUUGCAUUCUGAUGAAGUGUCUCUGAGAACUGGCUGUCCUGUCACCAGCAUAACUGAGAAGGGUGGCUGCUGUGCUUAGCUGGUGCAAGAUGGGUGGAGUCAAGGUCAAAGCCAAAGAGGAGUUACUCUUCAAUAAAAAUGGACACUUCUGAGGAGCUGAGUCAAGAUGGCACAGUAGGAAGACCCUGAGUUCACCUCCUCUCAUGGGCACACCAAAAAUGACAACUAUUUAUAGAGCAACUAUUGAUGAGAAAGACUGGAAUCUACCAGAAAAGAUCCUCUACAACUAGAAAUAUAAAGAAGGAACCACAACAAAACAUGUAGGAGGUGGGGAGGAUGUGGUAUAGUCAAGACCCAUAUCCCUGAAUGGGCAACCCACAAACAAGAGGAUAAUUACAAUUUCAGAGUUCUUCCCAAGGAGCAAGGGGUCUAAGCCCCACAUCAGGCUCCCCAACCUGGGGGUCCUGCACUGGGAGGACAAGCCCCCCAGAACACUUGAAGGCCAGUGGGGCUUGAUUUUAGGAGACCCAGAGGCUGUGGGAAACAAAGGCUCCACUUUUUUUUUUUUUUUUUUUUUUUUUCUUUUUUGCAGUAUGCGGGCCUCUCACUGUUGUGGCCUCUCCCGUUGCGGAGCACAGGCUCUGGAUGCGCAAGCCCAGCGGCCAUGGUUCACGGGCCCAGCCGCUCCGCGGCAUAUGGGAUCCUCCCAGACCGGGGCACAAACCCAUGUCCCCUGCAUCGGCAGGCGGACUCUUAACCACUGCGCCACCAGGGAGGCCCAAAGGCUCCACUUUUAAAGGGCUUUCACAAGAUCUCACACAUUCUGGGACCCAGGGUAGAGCAGUAAUUUGAAACGAGCCUGGGUCAGACUCACCUGCUGAUCUUGGAGAGGCUCCUAGAGAGGCAGGAGGCAACUGGAGCUCACCCUGGGGACAUCAACACUGGUGGCAGCCAUUUUUGGAAGCUUGUUCUGUCACAUGGACACGGGUGCUGGCAAGGACCAUUUUGUAAUCUUCCCUCUGGCUUAUUAGCCUCAGGACUGCCCCGCCCUGCCCACCAGCCUGUGGGCACCAAUACUGGAAUGCCCCAGGCUAAGCAACUAGCUGGGUGGGGACACAGCCCCAUCCACUAGUAGGCAGGCUGCCUUAAGAUCCCUGAACCCACAGCCAUCCCUGGGCAUGGCUCUGUCCACCACAGAGCCCAGGACCUGGCCCAGUACGCAGGCACUAGACUGGAUAUCCCAGGGCCCUACAGCCAGAGAGUCUGGGACACAGCUCUGCCCACCAGUAGGCAGCACCAGUCUGGGGACCGGCUGGAUCUCAGCCCUACUCACCAGUGGGCUGACACAAGCUUCAGGACACCCUCAACCCUGCAGCCAGCUGUGUCAGGAACUGGCCUCACCCACCAGGAGGCCGACACUAGAUCUGGGAAUCCUGGCUACCCAACCCAGAACCCAGCUUUGCCCACCAGUGAACCAGCACGACCCCAGAGACCCCCAGAUUUUCACAGCCAGACUUCUCAUGACCUAGCUCAGCCAACCAGCAACUGGCAGCCUCCAGGCAGGCCCUGGCAACCAAUCAGACCUGGGACCAGCCAUGCCUACAAGACCACUCAUAGCCCACCACAACAGAAGGACCCACACAGCCUGCAUGGUGGGGGGGAAUUCCUAGAGGAUAUAGCUCUGGUGACUAGCGGGGAGUGCACUGCUGGGACACAUAGGACAUCACCUACAAAGGGCCACUUCUCCAAGGCUGGGAAAUGUAAUCAACCUACCAUAUACAUAAAAAUAAAAACAGCAAAUUAGGCAAAAUGAGGAGAUAGAUGAACAUGUUCCAAAUGAAGGAGCAAGAUAAAACCCCCAAAGAAGAACUAAGUGAAAUGGAGAUAGGCAAUCUAACAGAUGAAGAGUUCAAGGUAAUGAUCAUAAAGAUGCUCAGAGAACUCCGGAGAAGACUGGGUGAAUAGAGUGAGAAUGAGAAGGUUUUAAUGAAGAGUUAUAAAAUGUAAAGAAGACACAAACAGAUGAAGAAUACAAUAACUGAAAUGAAAAAUACACUAGAAGGAAUCAACAGUAGAUUAAAUGAUACAGAGGAACAGAUCAGCAAGCUGGAAGACAGUAGUGGAAAUCACUGAUGCCGAACAGAAAAAGAGAAUGAAAAGAAGUGAGGACAGUUUAAGAGACCUCUGGGCCAACAUCAAACAUACUAACAUUCACAUUAUAGGGGUCCCAGAAGGAGGAGAAAGAGAAAAAGUUCUGAGAACAUAUUUGAAGACAUAAUAGCUGAAAACUUCCCUAACCUGGCAAAGCAAACAGUCACCCAAGUCCAGAAAGCACAGAGAGUCCCAAACAGGAUUAAUCCAAAGAGGUCCACACCAAGACACAUUGUAAUUAAAUGGCAAAAAUUAAAGACAAGAGAAUAUUAAAACCAGCAAGGGAAAAACAACGAGUUACAUACAAGGGAACUCCCACUAGGCUGUCAGCUGAAUUUUCAGCAGAAACUCUACAAGCCAGAAAGGAGUGCCAUGAUAUAGUUAAAGUGAUGAAAGGGAAAAGCCUACAACCAAGAAUACUCUACCCAGCAAGGCUCUCAUUCAGAUUUACAGACAAGCAAAAGCUAAGAGUUCAGCAUCACCAAACCAGCUUUAUAAGAAAUGUUAAAAGGACUUCUCUAAGCAAAAAAGAAAAGGCCACGACUAGAAACAUGAAAAUUAUGAAAGGAAAAAGUUCAUCAGGAAAGGUAAAUAUACAAUACAGGUAGUAAAUCAACCAUGUACAAAGCUAAUAGGAAGGUUAAAAGACAAAAGUAGUAAAAUGAUGUCUGCAAUAAGCAGUUAAGGGACACACAAAACAAAAAAUGUAAGGUAUGAUGUCAAAAACAGUAAUCAUGAGGAGAGGGUAGUAAAAAUGAAGGGUUGUUAAAAUGCAUUUAAAAUUAAGAGAUCAGGGCUUCCCUGGUGGCACAGUGGUUGAGAGUCUGCCUGCUAAUGCAGGGGACACGGGUUCGAGCCCUGGUCUGGGAGGAUCCCACAUGCCACGGAGCAACUAGGCCUGUGAGCCACAACUACUGAGCCUGCAUGUCUGGAGCCUGUGCUCCGCAACAAGAGAGACUGCCAUAGUGAGAGGCCCGUGCACCACGAUGAAGAGUGGCCCCCGCUUGUCACAACUAGAGAAAGCUCUCGCACAGAAACGAAGACCCAACACAGCAAAAAUAAAUAAAUUAAUUAAUAAACUUCUACCCUCAACAUCUUAAAAAAAAAAAUUAAGAGAUCAGCAACUUAAAAUAAUCACAUAUAUGUAUAUAGGUUGCUUUAUAUUAACCUCAUGGUAACCAGAAACCAAAAAUAUAUAAUAGAUACACAAAAAAGAGAAAGAGUUAUAUUUGUUUAACUAAAAGAUUCAAACUCCUAGAAGCAGACAGUUAGAUGGUGGUUGCCAGGACUGGGGGAGGGGAAAUGAGGAGUUUUUAUUUAACAGGUACAAAGUUUCAGUUAGGCAAGAUGAGUAAGUUCUAGAGCUCUGUUGUACAACAUUGUGCCUAUAGCUAACAAUAUUGUAUGGCACACUUUUUAAGAGGGUAGAUCUCAUGUUAAAUAUUUUUACCACAAUAAAAAAUAAUUAACAUUUCUGUCCCCAAAGUUGCCAUAAACACUGUUAAGAAAUAACAUAAUACUUUGCAAAUCCACAAGGAUUAGCAUCCAGAAUAUAUAAAGAAUGUCAUGCAAAUCAAUUGAAAAACAAAUUCUGCUCAAUAUGCUAUAAUAAUGUAAAUGGGAAAAGAAUUUGAAAAAGGAUAGAUGUAUGUAUAUGUAUAAUGGAAUCCCUUUGUUGUACACCUGAAACUAUCACAACAUUGUUAAUCAACUAUACUCCAAUGUAAAAUGAAAAAUAAAACAAAUUCUGAUACAAAAUGGACAAAAGCCAUCAACAGGCAGUACACAAAAGAGGAAAUGUGAUAAAAAGCAAUCUCAUUAGUAAUCAUGACACAGUUAAUUAAAAUCCAGAAGCACCCUUUUCCCCUUCCAGACUGGCAAAUAUUGUUUCCUGAAACCAAGUGUUGGUGAGGGUGUGGAGAAACUCUAGAGGGAGAAUAAACAAGUACAAUAACUUUAUUGAGGAAUUGCUAACUAUCUAGGAAAUAGUAGAAUUGUAUACUCUGUGUGUGUGCACAUAUACACGCUCAUGCACCCAGCAUCUCCACUCCCUUGGAACUGCACCCUAGAAGACCCAGGAACACUCAUACAUACGCAGGAGGAGCUGUGUACAAGGAUGUAAAUAGCAGCAUUAUGAAAACUAGCAACUGGUGGCAAGUUAAGCGUCCUUCAGCAAAGACUGGAUACAUAAUUUGUGGCAUGAUCAUACAAUAAAAUACCGAAAGCAAUAAUGAACAAAGAUGUACAAUAGUAUAUAAUAUUCAUGGCUGCAUGAUACUUACAGAUCCAGAAAUUAUAUUGUCAUACAUUUCUGGCCUAUAGAACUAGUCCACAUCUCAGAAACAAGGAGGAGCAGCCACCCUAGUAGGAGGAAGCCCUUCAUUUGGUCAAACCCUGAGCCAAAGCCCACUCAGGAAACAGGAAGUUGUGAGGGGCCGGCUGCUUCCUGUGUUAUAGCAGCUGAAGCCAUGCUCAGAUGUUGGUAGUUAACCACAUUUUGGACAGCAUUAGAGAAUGUCCUAUUAGCUCAACCUCAUAAAGUUUGGUAUUUUAUGCUCAAAAUUGCAGAUUAGUGGGACAUGUAAGCAAAAUGUACUAUUUGAGGGUUUCUAGAACUUUGUCAUCUUUAGGCCUAUGAAGGUACCGUUAAAUUGUCAUAGAGCUCUCGAUUCAGGUUUAGGGAGUUGUGGAGGCUUGUAAUGGCCCACUCUCUUGUGUAACUCCUUCUCUGUUAGUGUGGUAGGAGCUGUGAAUAUGCUGAAAUGUUAUUCCUGUAAUUAUGUUACUUUAUAGGGCAAAGGGGAUUUUUUUUUCUCAAUUGACUUUGAGUUAAUCAAAAUGGAGAUUAUCUGGGUGGGACUAAUCUAAUCACACAGGCCCUUUAAAGGCAGAGGGUUUUCUCUAGCUGGUGGCAGCAGUCAUUAGCGAGAUUUGGGAAUGUAAGAAGGAUCAGCCCUCUUGCUGGUCUGAAGAUGGAGGGGGCCAGGUGAGAGGACACAUAGGCAACUUUCAGGAGCUGAGAAAUGCCUGGUUGAGAGCCAGCAAGGAAACAGGGACCUCAGGUCUAUAACCCCAAGGAACUGAAUUCAGUCAACAUCCUGAAUGAGGCUGGAAGCAGAUUCAAACCCAGAUCCUGCAAGUAAAAGCCCAGCCUGGCCGACAUCUUGAUUUUGGCCUCAUGGGACCCUAAACAGAGAACCCAGUUGAGCCUGCUUGGACUUAUGACCUAUAGAACUGUGAAGUAAUGAGUGGUAUUGCUUUACGUUGCCAAAUUUAUGGUGAUAUGUAGCCAUAGGAAACUAAUACAGAGGGCGUUUUGGGUGCUUGAGAAAAUGGAAAGAUCACAGUUGCUGGACCCCAGUGAGGUGGGAAAGAAUAGUAGGGAAUAUCAUGCAACAGUAAAGAGGAAUACAUUUGAUUUGAUUUAAAAACAUGCAUUUAGCUCAAACACAGGUAAAUGAAAAAUGCAAGAAAAAACCGUAAGAUAUACUGCACCAAACUAUUUAGAAAUGUACAUUAAAAUAUAUUUUUCACAUUUGUACAUAUGUUAAAAUUUUUGGAAAGUACUAUGGAAGGAUAUAUAGUAAAUAUUUUUAAGUGUGACCAUUAUAUAGUAGGAUAUGGAAUUGGAGAUGCUGAAUUAAAGAAAAAAAUAAUAAGAGGGUCUUUACAUAGAUGAAUGAUGCUAGUUGGCCAUGCUAAAGAGUAUGAUCAACAGAGUUCUGUCUCCUGAGAUUCACAAUUACAACACAUAGUAGAACAAAACAGCAGAUAAGAGAAAAAAACAAAAAAUAAAUUCAAUUAUAACUAAUAUUAAGCAUUUACUAUGUGCCAGAUACUUUUCUAAUUAUGUAUUUGUAUUAACAUAUUUAGUGCUUCCAAUAAGCCUAUGAGAGAGGUAGGUGCUCUUAUAGUCCCAUUUUGCAUUGAUUUGUACACAGUUUAGGUAGCUUACAUAAUGUCACACAGAUAGUAAGAGUCCAUAGAAAUGAAAAUCUAGUAGUCUGUUUCCAGAAUCUGUUUUCUUAACCACUGUGCUAAGGUAGGUCACGGAGUCAAUGGAUUUCAAUGGAUUUCAUCUCCAUCAGCAGUCUUCACAUUGGAAUAUUUCUAUGCGUGAGAGUACACAAAGACUUUCUAGGGGGAGUUCAUGCAGCAAUAAUUUCGGUGCAUUUAAUUUCCAGAGUCUCAACUGCCAUUUAUACUCCUUCCAAACACUGAUCUUCCAGAGAAUAAACAUGAGUUCUCAGUGUCCUUUUAUUUUACAAAUACAGGCAUAUCUCUUGCCCAACCCAAGUGAUAUUCUUUGAUGGCAUGGGUAAUAAAAACUGGAGUGCCAGACAAAAUAAAACAUUGAAACACUGGCUUAGUAACACUUCCUUCAUGAAGACAAGGGGUCAGCCAACUUUUUCUGGAAAGGGCCAAGUAAUAAGAAUUAUAGGCUUUGUGGUUUCUUUCACAGCAACUCAACUCUGAUGUUCUAGUGAAAAGCAGUUUAAGUAAAUGAAUGAACGUGGCUGUGUUUCAGGAAAAUUUUACUCGUGGGCUGUAGUUUGCCAACCCCGUUACUGUCUUUCCUUAUCUUAUGCAUAUUUAUAUUAAGGGUGAAGCUUGGCAUCACGAAUGGAGAAAUUUGACCAGGAUAGAAUGCUCUGAAUUCAAACGGUCAAAAAACUAUCAGUUUCUGAUGCUGAUUAUUUUUAUUUAAUGUUUUAAUUGAAAAUAUUUUUAAAAAUUUAAGACACAUUAUAUCAAACCCAUGGAUAAAAUUGGAUGUGAUUUUUUUUAAUGAAGU